ensembl:lncRNA
UCCAGAGGUUCAAAUCAGUGGUUCAAACACAGGGAAUGGUUUAGCAGUCAUGCUACCAAAGAGGUUUUUCAUAACCCAACCAGAGGGAAUGUCAAAUCGUUUAAUUGUGUCUACCUGAUCACAUGUGUCAAAUGCGGGGUUCAAUAUGUGGGAGAGACUGGGAAUACCAUUGCCACCCGUAUGACACAACACAAACAUAAUGUCAAACAGAAAAAGACACGCACGCCACUGGUGAAACACUUCAUUUCUCAUGGUUGGAAUUCUGUCUGUGUGUGUGUCAUUGAGUGCAACCCUAGAUGGAGUGCUCCCCAGAGGAGGAGAGCAGAGAGGGUGUGGAUCGCCAGAAUGGACACAAGGCAUCCCAGUGGCCUGAGGGUGCUGCAGGUAGUGAGGUAGUGCAGGACAGUGCAUGGAUGGUCUUGUUUACAGGACCAUCGCAACUCUCUAACUCCUAACCCUUCUUUCCUAAACCUAACAAUACUCCUGAUGCCCUAAAUACCAGGAUGAUCUUUUCCUAACCACAACCUGUUGUAAAUAUUUGUAAACCUAAUCUGGUAUUCUUUCCUAAACCUAACAAUACUCCUGAUGCCCUAAAUAUCAGGAUGAUCUUUGCCUAACCACAACCCAGGGUUAACAUUUGUAUACCAGCCCGAUAACCCGAUUCCUAAACUUAAUAUUAUUCUUUUGGCCAAAGUCAGCAAUAUUGGCCUAACCAUGAUCAGCUCGAGAAGGCAAAUAAAAAUUUAAGAAGUAUUUAUUUUAUGUUUCAUUUAACAACAUUUUUCAAAUCUGACAGCCUGUUAUGCUUUUCUUAAAAUUAUUUUACGGACUCACCGAAAGGAUUUUGGAUAUUUCAUUAAGAAUUGUUUGGGAUGUGUUAUCAGUUAUAAAUAUGUUCUGUGAAUGUAUUGUUUCAGUGUACUGAAUUGAGAUGUUUAUGAACCUGAGUGUUAGGUCAUGUGUAAUAACGGUUUUAUAGUUCAUAUCCAUGUGUUUAAGGACUUUUAUAACUGUAUUGUUCCAUGCAGUCCUGUUCUUUUUGGAUUUGGGAGGUGGAAAAGGAGGACGAAUAGAUUUGCAGCAUACUGUAUAGAGUUAAUCUCCUCUGAUUGGUUGAGUGACAGGUGACCCCAAUCCUGCUUAUAGCCUGAAGAAGAGUCAAAAUAACUCGAAACGUUGCUAUCUUUCAUUUCGCUAUUUUGGUUUUUAAUAUUUUGUCCUUUUUGCCUUAAUAAAAAGUUAAAAAGGAGCUAGAGACUCGGAAAACUUUUUUGAGGCGUAAAAAAGCAGUGCACGCUAAUUAAACGGAUUGAGCAUGACGCGGUGGGACCGAGCCGACGACGACGGGUGGGUCUUGGUGUCCAGGGGCAGACGUCGUCGGAGACCGGACCGCAGCCCGGUAUGGUACGCCAAACCCACUUCCCCACGGAGAGGUAGGGAAGUUUCCCGAAAGCGCCGGAGAAAUGAGUCCGACCGCAGGGCGCGCGCACCGGACGACGGCCGGGAAACUAGUUAUCCGUCUCGCUGGCACCGCACCCCGUCUUACGACGGUCGCCGUACGUACGUCUCGGUAACCAGGGGCUACCGUACGGACGAUUAUGAUGACAUCACCCGAGCUCCACAACAGCAGCGCGCGGAGCAGCACAGAGACACACGGCGCGUGGACGACAACAGACCGGGGGACCGCGGACGCGCACCACCGCAACAGAGACCCGUUCCUCAACGUGAUGAAAGACGGGGAGAGAAUGACGGCGGACAGAGGGGAAGGUUCCAAAACUUCCCAGACAGGAUGCGCACUCGACCGGAAGUGAGCGAGGGGCACACCAGACUCAGGUCAGACGACCCUGAUUUUGCUCGCAAAUGCCACAUUUUGCAUAGAAUUAUUAAGUCGGUCCACCACUUCAUAAAUGUGAGCUCCAACAAAAUACCCCUGACUAUUCACCGUAUGAUGAAGCAAUUAAUGACUUUUAUUAAACCUGCAUGGCUCAACCCAGAGACUGUGACUUUAAUUGAAGGGAAUGCAAAAAAUUGGGCUCACCCAACAGUCACCAUCCUGUGUAAGCACUAUGACAGCGCAAUAGGGAAGGACGUAGAGGACCUUUCCAAGCUGUCAGACGCAGAUUGGCGUCCCCCAUUUGAAGUGGCCUCUACCUGGGCCAGGAGAAACCUGGGCCGCAGAUUGGCACAGGGGACUCUGACGGAAGCAAUGGCGGUGGUCGUCAAUGGAUUGGAGCGGGCCCGGGGUCUUGCGAACCCAACGGCACCACAACAACCGGUCCGACAGGACGACACAUCGGGGGACAGGCCACUGCGCAGACGACCAAACCAGCGCCUCAACACAACUGCAGCAGCGGCCCGAGACACAGCACAACGACAGGCUGCAGCAGAGACUCCUCUCAGAACGGGGCGGAGCGCUCCAGCCUCAUCUUCAGUGGUGGCACAGGUGCACGCUACAGCCGCAGGUAACUCCCCAGCACUACUAAGAACACCUGACACACCUCAACGCACCACACAGGAGGAGGAAGAGGAGGAUGGAGGAGCAGGAAGACGUGGUGGGGAUUGAAGAGGAGGAGGAGAUGGAAGAAGAAGAGGAGGAGGAAGAGGUGGAGUCGGACGCCUCACCGGAGAGACAUAAUUGGUCACCGGACGUCGGGAUAAACUGGGAAGAGUCCCGGAACGUGGUUCGAGAGCAACCACGGGAGCAUGCCGAUACGACCAGAAAAAUUAAAGACUGGCACCUGAACAUUAGAAAAAAGUGGGCGGUCAUUGGGGAUUCUAAUAUUCAUAGAAUGCCACGCCAUAGCAUCACUGACUUACAAAUUGACUCUUUCCCGGGUGCCACUUCCAGACACGCUCAGGGCAUCCUGGAGAACACCACAGCAUCCUGUGCAGUGGAGAAGAUUAUAUUGUGUUUUGGUUUGUGCAAUAAAGAUCAGAAAGCUAAGGAAACAGCUGUUAAACAAUUGCAAGGUCUCUAAGAACGGCUAAACUUCGCUUUCCUCGUGCAGAAAUCUUUGUCCCUCAGGUGAACUUCUCAGAUGACCUGCCCAUCAGAGAGAAGGCCAACCUAACGCAGCUGAACGCAUACAUCGGGUCCAUGGGUGAGUGCAUUCCCAGUUUACCUGAAGCUGCAUUCCGGACACAGGCGGACGGGGUUCACUGGACGUCAGAGACGGCUAAGGCCAUGUUUGAACACUGGAAGGCUUAUUUAAAUUAAAUGUCCCCAGAAGCCUGCUUACGCAGGAGGGGAAUAAAUCAGUUAUUAAUUAAAAGUACAAGCAGCCCAAAUUCGGUAGAUUUUUUGAACACGACAACGUUUAAGGAAAAGGGUUUUAUAAAUUCAGUUUUCAUCCGUGACAUAAUAUUCACAAAGUUGUGUAAACUUACAACUAUUCAGAUUCCACCGACAAUGCUUCAAACUAUGUGAUUUUGACAAAGCAGUUGAAACGUCAUGUUACGCAUUAGCCACUAGAGGGAACUCCAGGGAUCCUCAAAUCCCUUGUGUUUAUUUAAUAUCCUGUGAGUGGUGGGACAUGCAGUAUGUUGGGGAGACUGGGAAUGCACUCUCCAUCAGAUUUACACAACACAAACACAACAUCCUCAACCACAAGAAAACAUACACACCAUUAGUAAAGCAGUUUAUUGAACACAAAUGGAGGUUAUUGUCAAUAACAAUUGUUGAAUCUUGAGCCAGGUGGACCAUAAUCCAGAGACGAACUGCAGAGAGGAAAUGGAUCGCGAAGCUUAACACAAAGCAGCCACAUGGGCUGAACGAACAUUGAGGGUCCUGGAGUUGGGCCUAGCGAUGGACAGUACACUGGGAGCGGUGUUGCCCUGGCAAAACGGCUGCCCCAAACCCCUAACCCUCUAACCCUAACCCUGCCGGACCGUCUUUUCACCGAGCUGACCAGAGCGACAACAUGAUGGCGGCCAGGAUGACAGGUACACGGGACGUCCCGCUAACCGCGGUCCCCGUCCAAGACCCGCACAGCCCCGGUCCUUCGACUCCCGCUUUCAACGCCCCCCCUAUAAUAAUAACGGAAACAAUAACAACGUAAAUAACAAUAACACGCAAUACCAGCGAAACCAGAACAAUGAGGGCGCUCAGAAUAGGCCCAGAUCUGACGACCCACUUUUUACUGUUAAAUGCCGGAUCCUCCAUAAGAUCAUUAAAGCAGCACAUCAUUUUUCUAACAUUGUUAUAACACACCCACCGGUCACGAUCUCUAGAAUGACCCAGCAGUUAGCCGCAUUCAUUAAGCCGGCUAUUCCCAACACGGCCACGCAGAUGCUGAUUGACGGCAACGCUAAGAACUGGGAACACACUGCGUUGGUCAUUUUACAGGACCACUAGGAGUCUGUGAUAAAGGAGGAAAUCCGGAACCUUCACAGACUCAAUAGUCCAGAGUGGAGUGACCCGUUCGAGGUGGCGGCAGCCUGGGCCAAAAGGCAGUUUGGCCGCAGACUCGGCCCAGACACAUUAAAAGAGGCCAGAGAGACAGUUGUGGACUGGAUGGCCGGUCUGGCGGUAGAUGAGCCAAUACAGGCCCC